GACGAACGCUGGCGGCGUGCUUAACACAUGCAAGUCGAACGGAAAGACCCUGCUUUUGUGGGGUGCUCGAGUGGCGAACGGUUUAGUAACACGUUAGUAACCUGCCCUUGACUUUGGGAUAACUUCAGGAAACUGGGGCUAAUACCGGAUAGGAGCUCCUGCUUCAUGGUGGGGGUUGGAAAGUUUCGGCGGUUGGGGAUGGACUCGCGGCUUAUCAGCUUGUUGGUGGGGUAGUGGCUUACCAAGGCUUUGACGGGUAGCCGGCCUGAGAGGGUGACCGGCAACAUUGGGACUGAGAUACGGCCCAGACUCCGACGGGAGGCAGCAGUGGGGAAUAUUGCAAAAUGGGCGGAAGCCUGAUGCAGCAACGCCGCGUGCGGGAUGACGGCCUUCGGGUUGUAAACCGCUGUCGCCUGUGACGAAGCGUGAGUGACGGUAAUGUGUAAAGAAGCACCGGCUAACUACGUG
rnacentral:rRNA from 1 species